rnacentral:lncRNA from 1 species
GUGGAAACUUAUAAGAGAGUGACCAUUGACACUAGUAUAAAAUGUGAAAUGAAACUAGAUUUCAUAAAAUCAGUACCAACUUUCAACGGGAAUCAUGAGGAAUAUGUGUCUUGGAGACAAUCUGCUCUAGAUGCGUACGAAGUUUUCAAAAACUACUCUGGUAGUCAGACACACUACGAGGCUGUGGCCAUCAUAAAAAAUAAAAUCUGUGGAACAGCUCGAGCAUUGCUCACAUCGCAUAACACGGUGUUCAAUUUUGAUGCAAUCAUAGCUAGACUCGAUUGCACAUAUGCGGACAAAACAUCCCUACGAGUAUUACGUCAACACUUGGAAAUGGUUAGGCAGGGUGAAACCGAUCUAAUGGAAUAUUAUGACGAAGUCGAGAGAAAGCUACGCUCGUCACUAACAAAGUGGUCAUGACUCAUAAUGAGGAGGCAGCUACCAUUCUCAACGAGGAAAUUAGGAAUGAUGCUUUACACGCAUUCAUAGCGGGCCUCAAGAGGCCGCUAAAAUUGUUCGUUCUCCCGGCACAGCCCAAGGAUUUUCCAUCCGCCUUAGCUCUAGCUCGCGAGGCCGAAAAUAGCAUUGAGAGAAGCGCAUUUGCCGCUACGUAUGCAAAGGUGAUCGAGGAUAAAAACCAUUCAGGCGACGGCAAUAGACAGGGUCAUCGGGCCCAGGCCAGACAAGGUAGAGGUCAGGAAAAGAACCCACAUUUUGUGGGAAAAAGUAAUCAAAAUAGGCAGCAACAGGGUGAUCCUUGGCCAAAGCCAAACGAUAAAGAGGCCCCACAACAAAACCAAGUGCAGCCUAUGGAAGUUGACCCAUCGAUGUCUAAAGCCCAGAAAGGAGCUGAAAAACGUAACUUCGGUCGAAGAUUUUCGACUAGAUUUUCGGGCUAAGCGCCCCAUUUUUUUUGUUAAACACUCUAAGUACGUUUGAUGCCAUUAUAGGUUCCGAUUUGCUAACGCGAGCGGGAGCGGCAUUGAACCAGCGCAGCAGAACAAUCAGAUACGGAAACGCAACUGAACAACUUAGGUUCCACAACUGUGACAACGUAAAUUUCACCAAAGUCGAUGACCUGGUGGUCCCAGGCUCGGUAAAAUCCGAGUUCAAAAAGAUGAUACAGAAGAGAAUCCAAGUUUUUUCGACCUCUAACGAGGCGCUGCCCUUUAGCACCUCAGUCGUCGCUACCAUCCGAACUGAGAAUGACGAGCCAGUCUACUCCAAAUUAUACCCCUACCCUAUGGGAGCAGCAGACUUCGUAAACAAAGAAGUCAAGAACUCUUGAAGGACGGCAUAAUCAGGCCAUCUAGGUCGCCAUACAACAGCCCAAUUUGGGUUGUAGACAAAAAGAAAUCUGACGCCAACGGCAACAGGAAAAAGCGUCUGGUAAUCGACUUCAGAAAACUGAACGAGCGAACAAUCGCCGAUCGAUACCCCAUGCCAAGCAUACCCAUUAUUCUAGCGAACUUGGGAAAGGCAAGAUUUUUUACUACCCUAGAUCUAAAAUCACGGUACCACCAGAUAUACAUGGCGGAAAAAGACCGUGAAAAAACUUCGUUUUCAAUUAACGGAGGAAAUACGAGUUUUUCCGGUUACCCUUUGGACUAAAGAAUGCUGGGAGCAUUUUCCAAAGGGCAAUCGACGAUGUUCUACGAGAACAAAUUGGGAAAAUAUGUUAUGUCUAUGUAGAUGAUGUAAUAAUUUUUUCCGAAAACAAAAAUGAUCACGUUAAACACAUCGACACAGCGCUUAAACGCCUCUGCGAUGCAAACAUGAGAGUGGCCCCAGAAAAGACAAAGUUCUUUAAAGAAAGCGUAGAGUUCUUAGGCUUCAUAGUUACCAGGGGAGGAGCCGAGACCGACCCAGAAAAAGUAAGGGCAAUAAGGGAAUACACUGAACCCAAAACACUGUUCAGCCUCAGGUCCUUCCUCGGGCUGGCCAGCUAUUACAGGAGCUUUGUCAGAGAUUUCGCGACAAUAGCGAGACCCUUAACCGCAUUACUCAAAGGAGAAAAUGGCACAGUCAGCAAACACAUGUCCAAGAAAGUUGCGAUUCAGUUCGGUGAAACGCAACGCAACGCAUUCGACCGUCUGCGAAACAUUUUGGCGUCAGAGGACGUCAUCCUUACGUACCCUGAUUUCAAACUACCCUUUGAUCUAACUACCGAUGCCUCAGCAAGCGGCAUUGGGGCGGUCCUGUCCCAAAACGGCAGGCCAAUCACAAUGAUCUCGCGAACACUAAAAGAUUGUGAAGUAAACUACGCCACAAACGAAAGGGAAUUGUUGGCAAUUGUAUGGGCUAUAGGGAAGUUACAAAAUUACUUAUACGGUACCAAGGAAGUAAGAAUCUUUACCGAUCACCAGCCCUUAACAUUUGCUGUGUCCGAUAGGAACACAAAUGCCAAAAUCAAACGGUGGAAAGCCUUUAUAGAGGAACAUAACGCUAAGGUGUUCUACAAACCGGGUAAGGAAAACUUCGUGGCCGACGCCCUGUCCAGACAAAACAUUAAUAACCUACACGAAGAGCCUCAGUCCGAUGCUGCCACGGUGCACAGCGAGCUCUCUCUGUCUUACACAGUGGAAACCACGGAUAAGCCCCUCAACUGUUUCAGAAACCAAAUAAUUCUAGAAGAAGCUAGCCAGCCUCUACGGCGAAACUUCAUAAUUUUCGGCGGAAAAACCCGCCACAUUAUUCNGACACCCUAACUUAGCGCACAAGAAAUGUGAAAUAUCAUGUGCCGCCCUAACUUAUCCAGUCCGAUACGGAGGGCGCCGAUGCAGUAGAUGCCGUUGCAGCGGGCGGCUCUGUUAUCUGAUUGGGCGCCAGCGAUCGC